GCUGGGUGUGGUGGCGCAUGCCUGUAAUCCCAGCUACUCGGGAGGCUGAGGCAAGAGAAUUACUUGAACUCGGGAUAUGAAGGUUGCAGUGAGCCAAGGUCGAGCCACUGCACUCUAGCCUGGGUGACAGAGCAAGAUUCUGUCUCAA
ensembl:misc_RNA Metazoa_SRP Metazoan signal recognition particle RNA